rnacentral:sRNA from 1 species
UUUUGAUAUCUCAUUGGUUGUUCCUAAAGACAGAGUAGCUUUAUCAAACAUGAAUGUAAUUGACCGGAAACCAUACCCUGAUGAUGAAAAUUUAGUGGAAGUGAAGUUUGCCCGCACACCUGUUAUGUCUACAUAUCUGGUGGCAUUUGUUGUGGGUGAAUAUGACUUUGUAGAAACAAGGUCAAAAGAUGGUGUGUGUGUCCGUGUUUACACUCCUGUUGGCAAAGCAGAGCAAGGAAAAUUUGCGUUAGAGGUAAAUGUACUUGAAGAGGAUUGUUCCAACAGUCCAUAACUCCAGGUUGGGGAAUUUACAUUUCUGGUCAAUUAUUAGUACAGUUAUUUAUAAUUUAAUCUGAAAGUUGUGCUACUUGGUUUAUUUUUAAUAGAAUUUAGGAAAUGCCAACCUUGGUGUUUCAUUAUUUUACAAAAUAAUAAUUAAGAGAAUAUAAGAGUGGAAUGUCUCUAGGGAAUGGGUUGGAAAAUAUGUAGUUACAUUUUUCAUAUCAAGUUAUAAAUGG